GGAUAAAUGACCGAGUGGUCGAAGGUGUCAGUUUUGAAAACUGAACUAUUUCAAAAAAUAGCAUGAGUUCAAAUCUCAUUUUAUCCU
rnacentral:tRNA from 1 species